AAGACCUUACUUCAUAGGAUCAUUUCUAUAGUAAGCUCUUCACGCAACUUCUCACAAUACGUGGGAUAUAUCCAGCCAUGAUGAGGAUACGUGGCGCGGUACCCUGAGCGUGAGGCGGGCAGUGACGUGAGUCAUUUAGCCUUCGAUGAUCGUUCACUUUACCGAUUGCGGUAGAGCGUGGGGUACUGUCGCUGUCUGAGUGGU